GUAACAAGGUUUCCGUAGGUGAACCUGCGGAAGGAUCAUUACCGAGUGAGGGCCCUCUGGGUCCAACCUCCCACCCGUGUUUAUUUUACCUUGUUGCUUCGGCGGGCCCGCCUUAACUGGCCGCCGGGGGGCUUACGCCCCCGGGCCCGCGCCCGCCGAAGACACCCUCGAACUCUGUCUGAAGAUUGUAGUCUGAGUGAAAAUAUAAAUUAUUUAAAACUUUCAACAACGGAUCUCUUGGUUCCGGCAUCGAUGAAGAACGCAGCGAAAUGCGAUACGUAAUGUGAAUUGCAAAUUCAGUGAAUCAUCGAGUCUUUGAACGCACAUUGCGCCCCCUGGUAUUCCGGGGGGCAUGCCUGUCCGAGCGUCAUUUCUGCCCUCAAGCACGGCUUGUGUGUUGGGCCCCGUCCUCCGAUCCCGGGGGACGGGCCCGAAAGGCAGCGGCGGCACCGCGUCCGGUCCUCGAGCGUAUGGGGCUUUGUCACCCGCUCUGUAGGCCCGGCCGGCGCUUGCCGAUCAACCCAAAUUUUUAUCCAGGUUGACCUCGGAUCAGGUAGGGAUACCCGCUGAACUUAAGCAUAUCA
rnacentral:misc_RNA from 1 species